GGUCGGCCGUUGGGCUCUUCGUGCUUGGUUCCUCUUGAUUUACACGGACGUUCAUACGCAGUUGCAAGACGCAAUAACAAGCCCACCACGGCACGUUGUGAGGUCACCCACAGGCUCAACUUUCGAUUGUGGUCCUUGACGCCGAGCAAGCACAAUGCGUGUCGCAGACGUUCCUAACCGGACCUCUCACUCAGGUCAGGAUUGUGGGACGACACGCGCUCAACAGUCAGGUCCGGGCGAUGACAGAGUACUGGUACGAUCCUCUCGCGACGAGCCGCCUUCUGGCCGAUUUCCGAUGAUCAGGUCUGCCGCAUGUGCCGCGACAGACCGCGCUUUACGGUCUGGAGCUUUUACAAGUCCUCUCAGUUGAGCGUCGGAAAGAGUGGUGUAAAGUCCAAGCCCAUCGGUCACGUCUCGAAACACGGGCCAAGGAGUAUAGCAUGUGUGCAAGUCUAAGGGUCUCACAAAACCUGAAGGCGAAGUGAAAGCAAGUAAGCGGCGGGUGAUCUUCGGAGAUAUCCCGUCAGCUAGAGGGGUCGCAAGACCUCUCCGGCUUUGGCAGAGUUGAUCCUGCAGCGGUACCGCGCACGUACGCUCAGGCGCAAACUCCAGGCUCACGUUCUGCACUGGUCUUCGGACUGUGCUGUGAGCACUGUGGAGCAUGCAUGCUAUGACCCGAAAGAUAGUGAACUAUGCCUGGCGAGGGCGAAGCCCCAGGAAACUGGGGUGGAGGCCCGUAGCCGUUGUGACGUGCAAAUCCAUGGUAUCAGUUGGGCAUAGGGGCGAAAGACCAAUCGA
rnacentral:rRNA from 1 species